rnacentral:rRNA from 1 species
UGGGGGAUAUUGCACAAUGGGCGAAAGCCUGAUGCAGCGACGCCGCGUGGGGGAUGAAGGCCUUCGGGUUGUAAACUUCUUUUGCUCUGAACAAGGCAUGCUAAUGGGUGUGUUGAGUGUAGGGGUUGAUUAGCGCCGGCUAACUACGUGCCAGCAGUCGCGGUAAUACGUAGGGCGCGAGCGUUGUCCGGAAUUAUUGGGCGUAAAGGGCUUGUAGGUGGCUGGUUGCGUCUGUCGUGAAAGCUCAUGGCUUAACUGUGGGUUUGCGGUGGGUACGGGCUGGCUUGAGUGCAGUAGGGGAGGCUGGAAUUCCUGGUGUAGCGGUGGAAUGCGCAGAUAUCAGGAGGAAUACCGGUGGCGAAGGCGGGUCUCUGGGCUGUUACUGACACUGAGGAGCGAAAGCAUGGGGAGCGAACAGG